rnacentral:misc_RNA from 1 species
GAUGAAGAACGCAGCGAAAUGCGAUAAGUAGUGUGAAUUGCAGAAUUCAGUGAAUCAUCGAAUCUUUGAACGCACAUUGCGCCCCUUGGUAUUCCAUGGGGCAUGCCUGUUCGAGCGUCAUUUCACCACUCAAGCCUCGCUUGGUAUUGGGCAACGCGGUCCGCCGCGUGCCUCAAAUCGACCGGCUGGGUCUUCUGUCCCCUAAGCGUUGUGGAAACUAUUCGCUAAAGGGUGUUCGGGAGGCUACGCCGUAAAACAACCCCAUUUCUAAGGUUGACCUCGGAUCAGGUAGGGAUACCCGCUGAACUUAAGCAUAUCAAUAAGCGGAGGA